rnacentral:sRNA from 1 species
AAUAGAAAUUUAACCGUAGACAGCGGGUGCGAAAGCUUAAUUUCCCGCCGAGGUACAAUAUAAAAAUAUUGACCUUGUGCGUUUUGCGGAAAAUAUGAAAGCUAAAGCGGACAAGGUUUUUUUAUG